rnacentral:rRNA from 1 species
UUAAGCGAACAAAGAGCAUAUGGUGGAUGCCUUGGCGCAAAAGACCGAUGAAGGACGUAGUAGAUUGCGAUAAGCCUCGGGUAGCUGUCAAACAAGCUUUGAUCCGGGGAUCUCCGAAUAGGGUAACCUAGCUGGAUUUAUACCCAGUUGUCCUACAGUAAAUACAUAGCUGUAGCGAUGGUAACGCAGGGAAGUGAAACCUCUCAGUACCUGCAGGAAAAAAGAACAAUCGUUUAUUCCCUUAGUAGUGGCGAGCGAAAAGGGAGGAGCCUAAACCCAUGUUGUGUAAGAGGAAUAGAAAUCAUGAGUCGCGUUGCGACAAUUGAGGACUUGAACUCGUAGGUUGCUACUCGUGCAAUAUGGGUGUUGUAAGAAUCAUAGGGAUUGGUAGCAAGCAAUCCGAGAAGUUACAAAAUGUCAUUUUAAUAGAAAACAUCUGGAAAGGUGUGCCAUAGAGAGUGAAAGCCUCGUAUAUGAAAAAGUGAUAUCUUCUUUUUGAAUUCUUAAGUACCACGGGACACGUGAGAUCUUGUGGGAAGCGGCCAAUACCACUUGGCAAGGCUAAAUAUCUUUUGCGACCGAUAGUGAAUUAGUAUAGAGAGGGAAAGGUGAAAAGUACCCCUGUUAGGGGAGUGAAAUAGUUACUGAAACCGUAUGCUUACAAACAGUCGGAGCCGGUAUAUCCGGUGACGGCGUGCCUAUUGAAGAAUGACCCGGUGAGUUAGUUGUGCGCGGCAAGGUUAACCAUGUUUAUUGGGGAGCCGAAGCGAAAGCGAGUCUGAAUAGGGCGAUUUGAGUCACAUGCACGAGACCCGAAACCAAGUGAUCUAACCAUGAGCAGGGUGAAAUUUUGAGAAAUCAAAAUGGAGGCCCGAACUAUUUAAUGUUACAAAAUUAUGAGAUGACUUAUGGUUAGCGGUAACAUGCCAAACGAACUUGGUAAUAGCUGGUUCUCCCCGAAAUAGCUUUAGGGCUAGCGUCGUAAUUUAAAAAGUGGGGGUAGAGCACUGAUUGGAUCUGGGGCUCGAAAGAGUACCCAGUCCAGUUAAACUCCAAAUACCAUCUUGUAUAUUACGGCAGUUAGAGUCAGGGAGCUAAGUUCCUGUGCUCAAGAGGGAAACAGCCCAGAUCGUCAGAUAAGGACCCUAAAUUCUACCUUAGUGGGAAAGGAAGUGAAAUUUCUCAGACAGCUAGGAGGUUGGCUUAGAGGCAGCCAUCCUUUAAAAAAUGCGUAAAAGCUUACUAGUCAAGAGAUUUUGCACUUAAAAUGUAACGGGGCUGAAGGUAGAUUCCGAAGCUGCGAGUUUGUUUAGUUCUUCGGAACUAAACGGGCGGUAGGGGAGCGUUCUAUACAUGACCAACUUAGCAGUUGGUAAUUAGCUGUGAAGGUGGCCCGGAAGGAGCUGCUGGAGCGUAUAGAAGUGAGAAUGCUGGGAUGAGUAACGUAAAGCAGGUGAAAACCCUGCUCGCCGAAUGUCUAAGGUUUCCAUGGCUAUGUCAGUCAACCAUGGGUUAGUCGGUCCUAAGUAGAGGCUGAAAAGCGUAUACGACGGAUAACAGGUUAAUAUUCCUGUACUACUAAUAUCAGAAAUGGAGUGAGAAGAUUGAAAAUGCAGGCCCCUAAUUGGUUUGGGGUAUAAGCAACGAGAGAGUUUUUUCAGGCAAAUCCGAAAAGACGUUUCCACUUCGGUGGAUGUACACGAGUUGUUAUAUAAAGGUGACCCUCGGGAAUCCGAUCUGUGAGAUUAAUCUUCCAGGAAAAUCUUCUAUCAACAGUUACUUCGGUAACUGAAAUGAUAUUUGUAACCGUACUGCAAUCCGACACAGGUAGACUGGUGUAAAUGCACCAAGGCGUACGAGUGAUGCGUUGUUAAGGAAUUCGGCAAAUUAACCCCGUAAGUUCGCGAGAAGGGGGACCCUCCGUUAUAAGAUUUUUUCUAGUGACGAUGAGGGUGGCACAGAAUAGGGAGGAGCGACUAGUUACCAAAACUACAGGUGCUUGCAAAUUCGUAAGAAGAUGUAUAAGUACUGACACCUGCCCAAUGCCAGAAGGUUAAGGAAGUUUGUCAACCGUCUGUUAGAUGCACUUCGGUGCUCUAAUGGUGGUGAAGCGGAUGACCGAAGCCCUGGUCAAUGGCGGCUGUAACUAUAACGGUCCUAAGGUAGCGUAAUACCUCGUCACUUAAUUAGUGACUUGCAUGAAAGGUGUAACGAUUCUUCCACUGUCUCGACAGCGCGCUCGGUGAAAUUGAAAUGGCUGUGAAGAUGCGGCCUACCUAUACCAGGAC